rnacentral:lncRNA from 1 species
GAAUGCUUCGUUUGGAAGACUUCAUCUUCUUCAACUAACUUCUAUCAUUUCAUCAUUUAUGCAUAGAAUUUACUGAUGUUAAUAGGUUGACGUUACCAGAAGUUUAAUGGGAUUUUACUGAUGUUAAGAAGGUUGAUUAAGUGUGAAAAGGGACAAUUAGGAGAGAAUUUCGAGGAUGAUUUUGAGAACGAAAUCAUGUGUCACAUUUUUGUGGCUAGAAAGAGACUCUUGCAAGUUUAG